rnacentral:rRNA from 1 species
UACGUAGGGGGCGAGCGUUGUCCGGAUUCAUUGGGCGUAAAGAGCUCGUAGGCGGCUUGGCAAGUCGGAUGUGAAAACUCCAGGCUCAACCUGGAGCCGCCAUUCGAUACUGCUAUGGCUAGAGUCCGGUAGGGGAGUGUGGAAUUCCCGGUGUAGCGGUGAAAUGCGCAGAUAUCGGGAGGAACACCGAUGGCGAAGGCAGCACUCUGGGCCGGUACUGACGCUGAGGAGCGAAAGCGUGGGGAGCGAACAGGAUUAGAUACCCUGGUAGUCCACGCCGUAAACGUUGGGCACUAGGUGUGGGGCCUUAUCAACGGGUUCCGUGCCGCAGCUAACGCAAUAAGUGCCCCGCCUGGGGAGUACGGCCGCAAGGCUAAA